UACGUAGGGUGCGAGCGUUGUCCGGAAUUACUGGGCGUAAAGCGCACGUAGGCGGAUUGUUAAGUGAGGGGUGAAAUCCCAGGGCUCAACCCUGGAACUGCCUUUCAUACUGGCAAUCUCGAGUCCGAGAGAGGUGAGUGGAAUUCCGAGUGUAGAGGUGAAAUUCGUAGAUAUUCGGAGGAACACCAGUGGCGAAGGCGGCUCACUGGGCUCGGUACUGACGCUGAGGUGCGAAAGCGUGGGGGAGCAAACAGG
rnacentral:rRNA from 1 species